UAACUCAUCGAGUGAAACGCCACGGGUGGCAUGUGGGCGGCGGGGGCACCGCAUUAAAAAUAUCUUGAACUUGUUGCUCAAAGGCAUCGACUUUUCUUGUAUCUAAUUUCAUUGAUUGACUUGUUUUUUUUCCCUCCCGAUCAUUUUUCCAUUCUCAGAAUUUCAUUUUCUCCACGUCAUGUUUUCUUUCUUGCGAAAAACUUAUUCAUUCUGGCGCGCGUCGCUUGAAAAUAUGGCAAUUUGCACGCAAUCUCGCGACGCGUCGGAAUGAGAUCUGAUUUAAGAUAGAAAUGAGAAUUGUCUUUACAAAUUUUGCAGAAAAAGCAGAACUUCAUUAGGGCGUCAUUCCACUUGGCGUUGCAGUGUCGGUAAGUUAGUGGACUUAUCGACACUUAUCGAUAUGAAAUUUCCUUUUCUAACACAAUCUUAGGGGGAAAAUAAGUCUGAUAUGGAUUAAUUAGUCUUUAGAUUGCCGAUUUUUAACUAUUUUUCCCUCAAAAUUAUGUGAAAACUCUUGUAAAAAUCCAUUGUCGAUAACUUUAGAGCAAAAAAGAAGCAAGUGGAAUAUGACGCUUAGAUCACUGGCUAUGAAUAAGUUGGCGGCAUCUUGAUGGGUCCAUGUCAGUCUGGAAUUUGCAAAACUGUCAAUUGCCUUCUUCAAAUCGACUCCACAUUAAUUGGAUCAACGUGAUUGAGAGACAACGCAUAGUUACAGAUUGAUGGUGAAGAGAGUGAAAAAUGCUCAAGUUCGGCCGUUUUAGUUUUUUCGGUCGAUCGUAAUGCUUUUUUCCACGAAACCACUUGAAAAAUCUGCUGAUGGCGAAGUGCUGCGAAGCAUUGAGGCAAUAAACAGAUAAAUUCCUGCUAAUAAUCUCAUGUGGCGUUUGACCGUUUAACCUCCUCGCGCUCAUUUGAUAACACCAACGCCCCUUGGGCUCUCAACUGCUCUCUCAUGCUCAGCCAGUCUCACAAUGGCCGCUCUAUUGGGCAUCUUUGUGGCGCUUGUCGCCAUUUUGGGCCCUCGCGACGCCGUCCAAGGGCUACUUUGCCACUCCAACACCCACAAUCCCGGCACAAGUGACGAUCAUGUGAGGAAUUGCACACAUUUUAUGAUACCGCGUGAUGAAUUGGCCUGUAUCAGGUUGGACUACGCAGAAAAAAAUUUCAAUGAAUCAACCGUGAUAAUGGGCUGCAGCUUCAAAGGUGGCUGCGGACUGAUGCGGACCGUGGUUGAGCACACUAAAAUUGGCACAAUCAAAGAGUGUUUUAUCUGCCGGGAGAAUUUGUGCAAUUCCUAGGAGGUGGUCGAAAAACAAGACACAAGAUGAGAAUUGCCUGCAUUCUCAGCAUUGUGAUUCAUUGGCAAUUUUAAGAUAAUGGGCCUCGGCAGGUAAUUGGCAAGUGUAUUUAAUGGUUGAAUUUGCACACAUCAGCCGCGCGCGGGGCAAUGCUUUGUGGCCGAUUUAUUUGUAGAAAUAUUGCGAAAUUGAUAAUAAAUUGAAACGAGGCUUUUAUAGACUGUU